UUGACCUCGGAUCCAGG
rnacentral:rRNA from 1 species